UCCCUGUUAACAAGUAAAACUUUUAUUAAAUAAACUUUUAGGUUUUUGUUUUUCGUUUUUCUUUUCCAGACCAAGGAGAGGUGAUUUGCCGUUGAGAAGCUCGCUACUUCGCACACAAACAGGAGGUACGGGGACUCAAACCCCACAUUCCCUCUCCACCCUCGGCCUUCUCUCUCUGCUCGUCUUCAAAAUUGUUUGAAGUUUGAAAUUUCACGAAAUUCAUUGUAGCAGAAAUUAAGCCCGUUGUACAAAUCACAUAGGGUCUCUCGUGUGGAGUAUAAAAAUGGUAUUUACAGCUCGUAAACAUGAACUAGACGGUGCGCACGCCAGCGCACGCCAGCACGCACUCAGCGGGCAACCUGCAAGGGGCAGAGGUGGGGGGGAAACACAGCGACAUCCCGGACACACACGUUCGCACACUUCAUAACACAGUUUUACUGUGUUACGUUAAGAACAAGGGAUCAUCAAACCGGAAACGCGAAACAAGGUGGGCAGAAUCAGGGUGUUUUUUGUUGUUGUUGUUGUUGUUCUCUUCCCAAACCUCCAACUAGGAAUCAAAAGCGGAUUAUCAGUGAGUCCCUGCACCCCUGCGUGCUCUUCUCUGUGGUCUUGUUGGCACUCACUUAGAAAAAGACCACCAACAUAGAUAGAUAGAUAGAUAGAUAGAUAGAUAGAUAGAUAGAUAGAUAGAUAGAUAGAUAGAUGAGAGAGGAGAGAGGGGAAGGGAGAGGAGAAGGAGAAGAGAGAGAGAGAAGAGAGGAGAGAGGAAUCCGUGGGGUCAGCAACCGGGUCCGGUGUGGCCACGUCUGACUCACGGUGAGCUCGGGUACAAGACUUUCAGUUUACGGCUGGUGAUUGGAGGAGGGGCUGGGGUGGGGGUGCGAUCUGGUUGGGCAGUGGGGGACAGGAGGCUUCCCUGGCAGGAAGCUGAGGACACCUGGUCACCCAAGUAAGGCUAUGAAAGCGGGAGGGGCAGGGUGGGGGCGGCAGCCGUGGAGACCCCAAAAACUGGAGGUAUAUGGUGUUGACGGGGGUCCUGGUUUGGCAUCCAGCCGGCCUCAGCUGGUCUGUCCUUGGUCCCCGAUGAUUGGCCGGCUCAGUGCCACCUCCUUGGACGGAGUUUGGCCGCUGUGGUUCAUUCUCCAAAAAUAUAUUGUCUAUGGUGCGCGCACGUCUAUGCGCAGCUACGGGGAAUAGGAAGUUGGGGGUGGGGAAUCCUGGCUAAGGGGGAUACUGGCUGACCUGGAAAGCCUCCGAGUCAGGUGUGGGGGGGGUGUCCCCAAGCCGAGGGGCGGGUGAUUGGCAGUGUAUGGGCCCCUCAGACCCGGGCUCUGACGCCUGUUCCCUGUCCCACGACACACCACGGAGCCUUCUGUAACUCAAGUGGCUUUUGGUGGCUUCGGGAUUUGGGGGGAGGGGGUCACUGGGAGAGCUGGUGUCCAAACUUGGCUGUAAUUUACAUAAAAGUCCUGGAGUGGUUGGAAGCGGGAACCGCUCAACCUGGGGAGGAUGGGGAUAUCGGGGAGUAGUAGAGCGGAGGGGGGAGGGGCACAGAACACCUUGCCCCACUCUGUCCUGGCAAGAAAACCCCAGCGUUUUCAAAACAACAGUUCCUGACAGUCACCAUCAGUCUGGGGACAUUUGCUCCUGACAUGGUACCUCCCUCCCGAGCCCAGAGCAGAUGGUCCGCAGGACACUGGGUUAAAACUGGAACUAUGGCAGCCAUCCGGGGGUUUCUACCUGAUUCGUGGGUUUCCUAAUCGAAGCCAAAAUAGAUAAAGCCCAAAAGACCCAGAUAAUGGACAAAAAACACUGAAGGAUUAAAGACUGUCGAUCUCUACCAGGCCCUGGGCUGGGCGGUGAAAGAAAAAGAAAAAGAAAGAAAAAAAGAAAAAAAAAAAAAACACUAAAAAUAAAGUAUUCCUGGGUGCUCUGUAGGCUGCUGCUGCUGGGUAGCCGAGCUGUCACCUCCAUGAAGUCAUUGUGCAGUUGGUUCCACCUUUUAAAAUCAGUUCAGUCCCAAAGAAAAUGCUGAGACUAUUGAAGGGGAAAUUGGCUUUUGGGGUUUUUUGCUUGUUUGUUCGGGUAUUUGGCUUUGUGUUGUUUUGUGAGAGUGCAAGCGACACUCUGGGUUUGUUAACCCACUGGGCAUGAAAUUAGAAGACAGGACUCUCAGGGUCCACGGGAGCUGGCUGGUGGGGACAGAGGUGGGGGACCACAAGGCUAUGAUGUGUCCCCAUUUCCUCUGCUUCAGUCCUGGGCCAAGCUUAACUGGACAUUCCAAGUUCAACUGUAGGACACAGAUCCUUUCUCUGGAUUAGGGCUUCUUGGCUUGCAGCUUCACAGGAUGGGAUAGAAGCCCCGCCCAUCACAUCCUGCACCCCAGACCACAAGCCCCAAACCAGAAGUUCACUGUAGUGAACCUCUAUUCAUUUUUCAAAACUUUCCCUGGGAAGGAAGUCCCCUGGGUGGAACCUCCUAGCUUUCUCUCCCGGUUUCCCCACCCUAAUCCCACCCUCUCUGCCACCCAAGCCACAAGGUAAUGGGGGAGGGUUUGAAUCCCCAGUUGGCCUCUUGGAGUGCCACUCCCGCCCCCAGAAUCUAGAGAGUGAGCUUGGGAUGGGAGGAGAGUGAAUGACACCAGGGCUGGGCAGAGCACAGGGCCGCCUGGCGGCUCACCUGGGGCCACACCCACAGCACUGAAGGGCUGUGGGCGUGGUCAGUACGGGUGUCCUGGGUCUUUGGGUCUCUUCAGCUGCACCUUCAGCCUCUUCAUACCAAUCUGAAAGCCGUUCAUGGCCUGGAUGGCCGCCUGCGCGCUGGCUGGGUGGUCAAAGCUCACGAAUCCUGAGAGAACAAAGUGACGGAGCUGGUAAGGGGCGUGGUCCAGGCUUCAAGUGGCUAACGUUGGUCUUGUUCAUCUCUAGAGUUGGGGGCCUCACUCCCACCUCAUCCAAUCAGCUCAACUUCCCUUGUGGUGCAUGGGCCACAGCCUCACUUUCUUCCUUCAACACUGAUGUGGCACUGAGUACUAUUCCAAAACCUUAUACUUACCAGGCAUGCGCUCCACCUUGACCACGCCCUCAGACCCUCACUGGGGCAUUCUAGAUGGCAGCUCCACCCCUGGCCACGCCCCCACACCCUCAAUGGGGGUCUCUAGGUAUGUCCACUCACCGAAACACUUGCUCUGGUUGGUAGCCCGAUCCAUAAACACCUUGGAGGAGAUGAUAUUGCCGAAGGGGAGGAACAUCUGGGUCAGCUCCGUGUCUCCAAACUCCUGGGGGAGGUGGUAGAUAAACAGGUUACAGCCUUCGGGACCUGUAGGUGGGGGAGAGAAAGACAUAAAGCCCCCAAGGAGAGGAGGCGGACCCCCCCUGGGUUGGGGUCCAGUCCUUGUCUCUGGUUGUGGAUAGAGUGAGACGUUUCUCCAGACAGGGAACGGUCGGGAGCAGGGUUGGGCCCUGCAAGCCUUGAUCAGUCCCAAGUGCCUUGUCCACCCAGCCAUCAGCCACCAGCUCACCACAGACCAAACCCAGAUAGCCUCUUUGUCCCGGCUGGAACCCCACAAGCCAGAGCCUCCCUGAUGACUCCCAAAGCCGCACAUGCUCUGCUGCCAGCCUCCUCCUGCAGGCUAUGUACUGGAGUCAGGUGAAUGGGGUGAAUUGGUGGGAGCCCUGGGUGUGGCUCAGCAGUGGCUCAUGGCCCUUGCGCUGGUCUAAGAAACACCUGACACUUAAAAGAAGCCUGGAGGCCGUUGGAGGCGCACACCUAUCAUCUCAGCAUUUGGGAAGGCCAGGCAGGAGGGUUGCUGUGUUUAUAAGCCCAGUGUAAGCUACAUAGUGAGACCUCAUAAAUAAAUAAAUAAAUGCCCAGAAAGAGAGGAAAGGUAAGAAUUCAUUGCCAUGAGGGAGCCAGGCCUGUCGCUGCAAGGUACAGAUGUUGUCUGUUUCUCUGUCUAUAUAGUUAAUUUUAGGGGCGCGUGUGGAGGGCAGAGGACAUGGGAUUUAUCUUGCUUGGUGGCAGGCACCUUUACCCAUCUUCCUGUCCUGAAUUUGAAGGGGGACCUAGAAGGGGCCUGCAUGGCCAAGUGUCACUGAUGUCAUCUGUGGUUAGCUUUCAGAUCUUGGCUGUCAAGAGACAAGCACAUCCUGCUGGUGGCCUCGGGCACAAAGUGUCCAAGAGACACAGUGCAGCCUCGUGUGGGACAAUCCAGGGGCACCAGCUAACCUCAAAGUCCAAGGGCUCGGCUGUGAACCCAUCCCCUGCACCCUGGAGUGUGAGCCCCCAUCACAGGUGAGGGCAGCUUUGCCACAAGGGUGGCCUGAGGCUCCCCCUUCCACCUCUCCCCAGGCCUUCCUGGUCCAUAGGUAGGUAAAAGUAGGACUUCCCGGAAGGCCCACACACCAGGAACUUCUCAAUGUCUCUGUCUACACAGGUGGGGCCAGAACACCUGAGCUCCAGAUGGGAAAACUGAGGCAGGUCGUUAAGUACUCUCUGAUCACCGUGCCCAGUCAGAAGAGGAUGUGAGUGGCCUUGGGUCGCAGGAUUCCGGACUCCUGCUUCCUCCCGCAUGCCCUCCACAGCCUCACUUUACUGGGAAGGCCUCAGUUUACCCAAGAUACCUCCUCGGACUCCGGACUCCUGCUUUCUCCCGCAUGCCCUCCACAGGCUUGGCUUCACUGGGAAGGCCUCAGUUUACCCAAGAAGCCUUCUCGCACAAACGCGCACCAAAAAGGGGGUUUCCUCGCUUGUCCAUUGGGGGGUGGGAACCUCAAGGGCCGCCGUUCCAUGGAGGGGCGAGGUCAGCAGUGCAGUUGAGGGUGGGGCUGGCAGGGGUCGCCUCACCUUCGCGCUGCUGCUGCAGGAGGUGCGGAGGCUGCGGAACGCUGUGUGCCACGGGCGCGAUGGCCGCGGUGGGAUACAUGGCUGCGGAGAGCAGAGGCCAUACUGAGCCACAGGACCAGAGCAGAGGGCGAGGCCAGACCGAGGGGAGGCGGGGCUAGGACUGAGGGGCGGUGCCGGUGCCGGUGCUGAGGACCAGACCCGGGCCAAGGGGUGCGGCUAGGCUGUGGCAUCACCGAGUGGUUGGACCGACCAGGGCAGAGGGCGAGGACAGAGCCAUGGGGCGAGGCCUCGGCUGGGCUGCGACAGGAUGGGGCGGGGCUGUGGCUGAGGGGCGGUGCCUAGGGGGUGGGGCCCGGCUGGGACUUGCGCUGAGUGGCAGGACCAGUACCAAGGGCGGGACCGAGGAGUGGGAUAAGGGCUGAAGGAUGGCGACAAGGGGCAGAACCCGGGCCUAGGGCCAGGUUUGGGUGGGUCGAGGGGCAGUGAUGGAGCUGAAAGUGGGGUGGGACCAGGGCCAGAGAGGUAAGGCCAGGGCUGAGGGGAUGAAGGCAGAAACGCAGGAGGGACUGGGUAGGGCCAGAGCUGGAAGCGGGGCACAGCCAGGACGGGGACUGAGACAGGCAAAGAGGGCCAGAGUUGAGGAUGUAUUGAGGGGCAAGGCUAAGACAGGUGCAUCAGGGCAGGUGACUUGGUCAGAUGACGGUAGAGUGGGUGGGGCCAUAGCUUGAGGGGCAGGUCCGUGGCUAAGGGGUAGACCGGGACUGUUGCUCCACGUCUCUGCCUUCCUCCAUGCCUUUGCCCUUCAUUCUGGUUCCCCAUAAGCUGUGGCCCUGGCCCUGCUCCUUGUGCCACGAGCCUACUCCUCAGGUCCUAACUCUACCCCUUAUGCCCUAAUCCUGCUCCUCAGCUGUCCCUACCCUUUUCUAUUCCCACCACCACUCUGGCUGUACCUUGUCCCCAGACCCUGGUCUUGACCAGUUCCAACCGUGUCCCUUGCCCCGCCCAGUCCCCGACCCACCUCUCAACCCUAACCCCGCCCCACCAUUCAGCCACUGCCCUACCUCUCUGGCCCUGGACACACCCUUGAGCCCUAGUCCCACCCUCCAUUCCUCAGCCCUGCCUCACCCCACAGGGAGCAGGGCCAUUGGAGGGUAGAACCACUUUUGGCCAAGAGGUGGGGCCAAAGUGGAGCAUGGGGUUCUGAGUGGAGCUGGGGCAUAGUGGAGGGAAGGGCUAUGAAUUGAGGGCUGGGAUAGGGGCGUGGCCACAGCAGGAAGGGUGUAAGAGUGGAGCUCCACAGGGGUCUGAAGGGCAAGGUUGGAACCAGGUCUAAUGAAUCAACUUAGUUGAGCAGGGCUCUGCCUUUAGGGUGGGUAUAAGGGCUCAUGGGCAAGGCACUGAGUGGGUGCGUGCCUCAAGAGGUGGGGUUAGAUUCACAAAGUUAGGUGGGGCAGAGCUACAUAAGGUACACAGCCAGAGGCAGCCCUGGCUUUGGAGGGACCUGGGGAUGAGACGUGGGGAGCCCCAGACUUAAGGGACUGUACAUUCCUUAGGGGUCUUGUGGAGGAUGGGACGUGUGCAGAUGGAUGAGACCUGAGGUGAGUGGUCAGGACAGGGCUGCCUCUACCUGUGUACUGCUGGACUCCGGAGAAGGCAGGAUGGAGGGUCUCUGCCACAGUGGGGCUCUGAGCUGCAGGGCAGAGGAGGAACUGAGCGCUGACAUCCACAAACACCCAGCUUCCCUUCUGUGUUAACCCCCACAGGCAAGCCAAGGAAACUGCAUCUCUGAUGUAGGUUAACUUGCCAGCGACACACACACCCAUAGCAAACAACAGAAGUCAAGUGAAGCCGUGUGACCAUCACCCCUCAGCCUCCUACCUUGUCCCCCUCAGCACCCAGGAAAACCCCCCACCUGAGGGUCAUCUGCCAUACCCCACUCCCUGCCCAGACUCCCUCAUCCAGCCUGUGGGGACCCCUGAGUGUUUUAGGGUCCACCCAGUUCCUGGUUUGGGCCAUUAGCACUCAAGGCUGGCAGCUCAGGCCUACCCUGCCUCACUUUGACAAAGCCCAGAGCCAACUACAGAAUGAAGAAUUUAGCCAGGUGCAGGUGCUCACAGCUAUUAUCUUAGCAUUUGGGAAGUAGAGGCUAGAGGACUGCCCUUGGUGUAAGGCCAGCCUGGGCUACAGAGGGAGUCUAAGAGCAGCCUGCACACACAGGGAAUUGAAGGCAAAUCUGAACUACCCAGUAUGACUUCGACCUCCAUCUCUCACAGCAAACAAGAAGAGACAUCUGCCUAACACUGGCUCCCAUCCGUGCUCCCAUCCAGCCUUUGAUGUCAUUUGUCCCAUUUUCCAGUUUAGAAACCAGCCAGAACUGGAAUCUGAACCCAGAACCAACCUGCCAAGUGUGUGCUUGUGACGUAGCCUCCCUCCUCAGCCAUUUCCUGUGCCCACACCUGCCUAGCCAUUCCUUGUUCUGCCCUGCCACACAUAGGGUGUAAGGCUGUGGGGGACCUAGGUAUGUCCCUCAGUUGCCAGACCCACUCCAGACACUGUCCUGGGCUCUGGAGCACUCUCCCAAUUACCUGGGUAGGGCACAAGGCCAUUGGCAUACACAGUCUCCAGGGCAGGGUGACUCCCGGGAAAGGGCAGGACGCCGGGGAAGCCAUUGGGAAUGGGCGCCAUCAGGCCGGGAACAGCGGCAGUGCCUAGCAGUGGGGGUGAGUGUAGCCCUAGGAGGGAGAGAGGUCAGACACGGGGGCCCAGACGUGGCCGGUUCCCCACUUGUCCUGAGACUUCCCAGGAGCUGCUCUCACCAGAGGCAGGAGCGAUGGGCGUGGCAGGCAGACCGUUAAGGCUGACGGCACCAAUCUGCUGGAUAUGGCAGGGAGGGAAGGCCACACCGGGGCUCAGGUAGCUGCCAGAGGUGGACAACACUGUUGUCUGUUGCUGCAUGAGCUGAGGACAAAGAUGGUGUGAGUGGAAGCAGUACUACCGGGGUCGGGCACUGGGCGGGGGAGGGUCUCAGGAUCAGUCAGCCAUUUAGGGCUCAGCCCCAGAUCAGCAUUUGGCUUGGGAUCAGGGUCCAGCAGGCGUUAACAUUUGGUUUCCGCAAAAAGGCUCAGUCUAGACUUAGACUUCCACUAGAAACUGAGGCUCAGACUUCGAUUAAGGUUCAUUCUGGGAUCAGAGAUCGAUCAGGCUAUUAGGACUCAGCCUGAGAUCCGAGGUCAGUGUGGGAUACAGGGCCUGGUGCAGCACAGGAUCAAGGUCCAGCUUUGACUCGGAGCUAGGGUUAGAAACAGGGUUCAAUAUUUGCAUCCAGAUUGGGGUCCGGCCUGCCUAGGGAAGGAACAUGGUGCUGCCAGAAACUGAGGCUACGCUUAGGGUUAGUCAACCGUCAAGACUGAGCCAGGAGCUGGGGUGAUGUCAGCCGUGAGGGUGGAGCCAGAGUUGGGCUGAAUGCAGAUUUAGGUAUGGUGGGAUCUAGGCUUCCGCCAAUUGGGACAUUAGCACUCUGCCCACCAUCAGGUUGGGCCAAGCAGGGAGGGUGGCUGUGGUUAGGGCUGUCCAUCAAGAUCUGGGCUUUCAGCCUGGGACUGCAGCUCAGUCUGCAUUCAGCAUCCGUGUGCUGGGGCCACUCACAGCCUGGGCGUAGGCACUGUAGGGGCUGAAGGGCAGGGUGAGGGACGGCGUCAGGAUGCCCAGCUGGCCAACCAUCUGCUGCAUACGCCGCAAUGUCCGCUCUUUAUCCGUGUCGGCAAACUUGACCACCAGGCUGGAGGACGCUCCCUGUAAGGACGGUAUGUGUCAUUGGAAUAGGAGGACAGGGUAGCCAGGACUCUAGUGCUCCCCAUAGAUGAGAGCAGCCAUGCCAGCCAUGUUUGACUCCAUAUCAGAAGAGUCGGGACCACAGAAGAAGUGAUAGGGCUUGUCAUCCUGAGCCUGGCCAUGUGGUGACACGGCUGUAGUGUCUUGGAGGUUGCCACAGCGAUAAGUGGGGCAUGUAGGUUCAAGGGUCAUGUCUGGGACAAAGAUUGGGGUGGGGUGGGGUUCCUAGCUGAAGCCAUACCCUCAAGGCAGGGGCAAAAUCCAGAGGUCAGAAAAGGAUUGGGGGCACCAUGCAACCCACUUGCAACCCACACGUGGAGGUCCCCUGUGUCCAGCGAAUGGAUAGGACAUGGCACCUGACAGUGGACCAAUCACCCGUGCUCAGGGACUUAGUCAGGAGCUGGGGCUCACAGGAAGAUAGGAAGCAACAUGGAGACAGCUCUCAGUGAAGAGUUAAGGCCUAGGAUCCAGAGUUAGUGCAGGAUGAGGGCUCAGCCAGGUGCUCCCUGGUGAUUGGGCUCAAGUGCUCCUAGCCUAGCUUGCAGAAACCCUCUUGUAGUCUUCCCCUUCCAGCCGCCCCCCUCCUCGGACAGACAACUGGGUCCUUGGUUCCAGUCAUGAGGAAGCUGGCCCUGGGGGUGACCUAACCCAGCCCCGCCAUGUUAUGGAGACAGCUGCUGCUCUCGGCUAGGGACUUAGUUUACCUGCAGUAAUGUGGACUCCUGAGGCCCUCCCUGGGGGGAACACAGCCCUAUGUGUGUGAUGCUAUACCUAGGACCUUGGACACCUGUCCUCUACCCUGCCUCUGCUAAAUGGGUCAUCAGUGCCCCUCAUUAUCUCUCUACAGUCUCUGCAACGAGCCCCUGUCCUUCAGGUGGGGACCUGAGCUCAGCCACCUGCCCCUCUAGGUUCUUAGUGUCCUUCUGUCCCUUGUUCACUGGCGGACCUGACCUGAAGGACCUAUGCAAAUGACCUGGCAGCUCCCCUCACUCUGUGCACCCACCGUGGCUUCCAGCUGCCCUAGAACAGGGUCCAUGAUCUCUACACAUCAUCCAACUGCUGCCCCUGCUUCUCAGCCUGUGUUACUGCCACAAGCUAAGAACUACACUUGCCCCAGGACAGUGUCUGGUCACACACAGCUCUGAUCACAGCCUGGGCUGCACAUCCAGCCUCCUGUCUGAAGCAGUCUAUGAAGGGAAGAUGCCAAAACCACCCAUCUCUCCCACCCACCUUGCACCCAGCCCCGCCUCAGCCAAGCGCAGCUCUCACUCACCGGCAUAGUCUGGCUGCCAUGCAAGGCAUGGAUGGCAGCCUGGGCCUCUGUGUGGGAAGAAAACUUCACGAAGGCACAGCCUGGGAGGGAAGGGAGGAGGAGGUGAGGGACUGAAGAAUAUAAUGGAUGGGAGCAAGGGAGAGAAGAAGCCCUUGAUUGCCACUCGUGGACAACAGCUGACAUGAGUUCAUACAGACAUAGGCAGGACUGACCAAGAUGGCCCGAACAGAUAGGAUACACCAACAUCUUCUAGGCCCAGAGACUUAGAUGUCAGCCAUUAAUUCAGCUAAAUAGGAAGUCAGUCAUCCAUCUAUCCAUCCAUCUGUCCACCCAUCCAUCCACCCAUCCAUCCAUCCAUCCACCCACCCAUCCAUCUAUCUAUCCAUCCACCCACCAGUUCAUCCAUCCAUCCAUUCAUCCAUCAAUCCAUCUGUCCAUUCAUGUGGUCAGCCAACAGGAAGUCAGCUCAGCAUCCAGGAACUAUGUUGAGACCCCAGUAGCCACACACACUUUCAGAGGCAGCCUGGGUCCCAAGAAGGUCCCAUCAGAACAAGUAGGAAAAGGUUUGAAUGGCCCCAGCCCUGACCUCCAGGGCACAGACGGUGUACUGGGCCCUAUGGAAUCAUGGAAGCUGGUCAAAUGGACAGACAAACACAUCGAUGUGGUGUCCACCAAGGCAGGUGCACCUCCAGAGUUCAUACAACAUGGAGCCAGGACCAGCCAGCCUUUUAGUCAUACAGAUAGACAGACAGACACAUGAAGACACAGAACUUGAGACACAGGGAGAAAAGCUGAGGCUUGGGGAUAGAAAGAACUCGGGCCAUAAUCCCAAGGGCCAAUCUGCAGGGGACACAACAGCCCCAUUGAGUGGACACUCAGGAGCCAGGGCUGACCCUGCCCUCCCAUAGACCUGACCGCUCCUCAGCAACUAGGUCUUCUCCUCCUUUCCCUCUCCCUCCCCUUCCCACACCCAAAUCCCACCCACCCACCCUUUCCAACCACAAACACUCACCCCACCUGUUCCACCCCUUCCCAUUGGCUAUGCCCACCUCCAGUCCUAUCCCAUUCCACUAUUCCUGCAAUCUACUGCUCUGUACCUGUGCCAGGCUCAACCCUGACCACCACCCCCCGCUGCCACUCCCUAAGCCCCGCCACCAGGCUCCGCCCCCAUCGCCUGCCAGUCACCUUUGCUGCUGCCAUCUGGUCCUCGAAGCACUGUGCACUCGUCUAUGACGCCAAAGGGCUGGAAGAGCCUGAGCACGUCUUCCUCUGACUGCUGCUUGUUGAGCAUACCCACGAACAGCUUCCGGUCCCCUGUGGGCGGAGCCCCGGCCCACGGCCCGCUGAGCCCGCGCUGGUCCUGCAGACCCUCAGCCCUGGCCCGCGCUGCCCCAGGACCUUUGCUCAGGCCGCCCCGCUGCCCAGUCGCCCAGGAAUGAGAGCCAGGUUACUAGGGAAACCAUACUCAGAUGUCUGUCACUCGCUGGGGUGAGAGGGAAGAAGGAAUGAAUGGCAGCAGAGACGCUUGGGGCGUCAGGAAAGAAGAGACAGGAAAUCGGGGACAGUCAGAAGCAGGAGACAGGGCAAGAGCGAGCUGGGGGCGGGAGGGGGGGUCCGUCCCGAUAGACAGCAAGAUGGAGAGUGACAGGGACUAGCAAGGCUGGCUUUACAUAGCUCCUACACAUAGAUAGGGUCCCAACCGCCUUGCCCACACCUAUCCCCACCCCAAGUCUGCAAGCCUUCAGGCACCCGUGAGGGAACAGGAAAGGUGUGGGGUAUCUGAAGUUUGGGGGAGCAGUCGGAGCCGGACGGAGCCCCAACCCUGGGGCUGCAGAGGCCCGCGGCCAUGGGGAGGUUACUACUACCUCCACGGCUUUCACUGUCUGCCGGUUUCACCUGGAUCGGCCGCGCCAUCUGUGGAAAGGGGGACAUGGUCAGGGUGGCAGAGGACAGUGGGGCGCGGGCACUGUCUUUAAGCUGUCUCAGCACACACUCAAACCCAGUGCAAGUGAGAGUUGGCCAGCAAACUCUUAGCUAGCUUUCAGAACCCAAUGAUAGUUAUCCCAACAGGACGAACUGUCUUUGAAAAUGGCCUGAUGUCCCCGAGCCCUGUGUGCAAAUGUCACCUUGG
rnacentral:lncRNA from 1 species